ACGGCGGCGGGGCGGCUUUGACCGCUCUGAGGAAAGUCCGGGCUUCACAGAGCAACGGUAACUGCUAACGGCAGCCGAGGGCGACCUUAGGGAAAGUGCAACAGAAAACAUACCGCCGCGCUUUGCGCGGUAAGGCUGAAACGGCGAGGCAAGAGCUCACCAGCGCAUGGGUGACCAUGCGGCUUUGUAAACCCUACCGGAAGCAACACCUAGCGGGGCAUACAGCGCUGCUCGCGCGCCUCCACGGUGGCACGAGCCUGUCAGCAAUGGCAGGCCUAGACAGAUCGUCGUUUAAUACAGAACCCGGCUUACGGUCCAUCUCGU
rnacentral:RNase_P_RNA from 1 species